GCAUCGGCUAACUCCGUGCCAGCAGCCGCGGUAAGACGGAGGAUGCAAGCGUUAUCCGGAAUGAUUGGGGCGUAAAGGCGUCCGCAGGUGGCAGUUCAAGUCUGCUGUACAAAGACCGGGGCUUAAACUUCGGAAAGGCAGUGGAAAACUGAAACAGCUAAGAGUAUGGUAGGGGCAGAGGGAAUUCCUGGUGUAGGCGGUAGAAAUGGCGUAAGAGAUACGAAGGAAAGAACAGUCGGUAGGCGAAGGCGCUCGUGACUAGGAACCAUAACUGACACGUCGA
rnacentral:rRNA from 1 species